rnacentral:rRNA from 1 species
CUAUGGGUUGUAAACUGCUUUCCAGGAAGAGAAACUUGCGUACGAGUUACGUAACUGACGGUAUCCUGGGAAUAAGCAUCGGCUAACUCCGUGCCAGCAGCCGCGGUAAUACGGAGGAUGCAAGCGUUAUCCGGAUUCAUUGGGUUUAAAGGGUGCGUAGGCGGACUAUUAAGUCAGUGGUGAAAUCCUGCAGCUUAACUGCAGAACUGCCGUUGAUACUGAUAGUCUUGAGUUUGGUUAAGGUAGGCGGAAUGUGUAAUGUAGCGGUGAAAUGCUUAGAUAUUACACAGAACACCAAUUGCGUAGGCAGCUUACUGAGCCGACACUGACGCUGAGGCACGAAAGCGUGGGGAUCGAACAGGAUUAGAUACCCUGGUAGUCCACGCCGUAAACGAUGAUUACUCGCUGUUGGCGAUACACUGUCAGCGGCUAAGCAAAAGCAAUAAGUAAUCCACCUGGGGAGUACGGCCGCAAGGCUGAAACUCAAAGGAAUUGACGGGGCCCGCACAAGCGGAGGAACAUGUGGUUUAAUUCGAUGAUACGCGAGGAACCUUACCUGGGCUUAAAUGUAGAGUGCAUUUUCUAGAGAUAGAAAUUCCCUUCGGGGCUUUCUGCAAGGUGCUGCAUGGUUGUCGUCAGCUCGUGCCGUGAGGUGUCGGGUUAAGUCCCAUAACGAGCGCAACCCUUAUCGUUAGUUGCCAGCUGGUAAAGCAGGGGACUCUAGCGAAACUGCCACCGUAAGGUGAGAGGAAGGUGGGGAUGACGUCAAAUCAGCACGGCCCUUAUGUCCAGGGCUACCACGUGUUACAAUGGCCGGUACAGAGGGCAGCUACCUGGUGACAGGAUGCUAAUCUCGAAAACCGGUCUCAGUUCGGAUCGAAGUCUGCAACUCGACUUCGUGAAGCUGGAUUCGCUAGUAAUCGCGCAUCAGCCAUGGCGCGGUGAAUACGUUCCCGGGCCUUGUACACACCGCCCGU